AGCAUGUAUUGGACCGUCGGUCUAUCGAGCAAUGUCGCCCGCUUGGUGGAAAGUCUUCCUUUCGUCUU
rnacentral:pre_miRNA from 1 species